AUCCCAUGAUGAGGACACUCGAGUAUGUAGUCUUGAAAGCGCUCCCAAGCUUCUGGGACUGUCUCAUCAUGUUGUUGCUGAAAACUUGAUAUCUUCCCACGCAGAGCAU
rfam:Sorghum bicolor cultivar BTx623 chromosome 7, whole genome shotgun sequence.